rnacentral:lncRNA from 1 species
GUAAUGUGUGCUAUUUUAUUUUUACUUCAAUCCCUAACAUUUCUUGAUCAUUUGUUUUUAAGGCCAUGAACAGACAGUUGCAAACAGGACUGAACUGUACACCAGGAAGAGUGGAGCCUGAGGAAUACAGAGGGCAAUGUCUCUCACUCUGUGCUUUUAAACCAGUGAAGAAUGCUCAUUGAUUCUGCCAUGGUGGAGGACAAACUGCCCCAACAGGCAGACGUGCAAGGCCAUUACCACAUGAAACAAGAGUCUGAACAGCACAAGUCAUACAAAGGCUGAUUAAAGGAGAGGUGGGCAUUUGCUUCUCAUAUAAUAGAACAGCCUCUAUUUUCUCCAUUUGCUCCUGCCACAUAAAUAACAUUCAUUGGUGUACUCAGCACAAUGUUAACAAGAGGACUUCUUUUGUGAGGACAUUCAUGUACUCUGAUAGUGAAACAGAAGGGCUUGUUCGUGUAGAAUUUUAUCUAGU